CACGUAGGGGCCAAGCGUUGUCCGGAUUUAUUGGGCGUAAAGAGCUCGUAGGCGGUUCGACAAGUCGGGUGUGAAAACUCCGGGCUCAACCCGGAGACGCCACCCGAUACUGUCGUGACUGGAGUCCGGUAGGGGAGUGGGGAAUUCCUGGUGUAGCGGUGAAAUGCGCAGAUAUCAGGAGGAACACCAGUGGCGAAGGCGGCUCUCUGGGACGGUACUGACGCUGAGACGCGAAAGCGUGGGGAGCGAACAGG
rnacentral:rRNA from 1 species